rnacentral:rRNA from 1 species
GACGAACGCUGGCGGCGUGCUUAACACAUGCAAGUCGAGCGGUAAGGCCCUUUCGGGGGUACGACGAGCGGCGAACGGGUGAGUAACACGUGGGUGACCUGCCCUUACGCUCUGGGAUAAGCCUGGGAAACUGGGUCUAAUACCGGAUAUGACCUCAUGACGCAUGUUGUGGGGUGGAAAGCCUUGUGCGGCUAGGGAUGGACCCGCGGGCCCUAUCAGCUUGUUGGUGGGGUAAUGGCCUACCAAGGCGACGACGGGUAGCCGGCC